AUUCUCUAAGACUCCUGAGUCAAAACCAGCCGUCACAGAUAUUCCUGAGCAUGAGCGACAACUUCAGACCCGUGCAACCACUGCAUAACCGCUGCAUCCGAACAAACAUCAACUUCAGCCUCCAAGGAAAGGACUGUCCCAACAACAGAGCCCAGAAACUGCAGUACCGAGCUCAGCAAACUGCUCAGUGGGGAUGAGCUGCGACAUUCUUUCCCCUCCAAAUUGAUUCGCAUUGACCCACGGGAGUUAAUGAAUGGCUCCUAAAGUAAUAAGAGACAAUAUUGAUCCGGAAUUUAACCCUGAUGAGAUAUUCCUGCUCUGAAUGUGCAUUACGAGGAUGGCAGUCAGGACCACUCCCUUGCUGGAGGGGGCACUCAGCUUUCACAAUGAGCUUGGAGGGAGACAAACUUUUGAUAUAUAUAAACGGCUGUCUUCAAAACCCACCUUACAGUCGCAAGGAAACCAAGACACUUGCCAAAAUACACCUAGAUUUAAAAAGAUUAAUUUUAGAGGGUGGGUGGUGGGAGGGGGGAAUGAGAUAAAUCAUUUAACAAGCAACUGUGGUUUUGAUACUUUACCAUUUUGAAAGGGAAGAGGAAUUAAAAAAUUAAAUCUAUAAAAUUUUAAUGCAGCUGCCUCGGCUCCAACUAAAACAAACCAGAGAGACUUUAAUGGCCUUUGUAUAUAUGUGGACUUCACAAUUGCUAAUGUCAGGAUGGAAGCAAAUCCACCAGUGUGAGUGUUCAAUUGUGUUCGGGGUUCCAAACUGGAAAGCCUUCAUUGCUCAUUCGCGUCAUUCAGUUUGGUGUCUGUAUCCAAACCAAAACAGAAAGAAGUCUUUGGA